rnacentral:rRNA from 1 species
GACAGAGGGUGCAAACGUUGUUCGGAAUUACUGGGCGUAAAGCGCGUGUAGGCUGUUCGGAAAGUCGGGUGUGAAAGCCCCGGGCUCAACCCGGGAAGUGCACUCGAAACUCCCGAACUGGAGUCCUGGAGAGGAAGGCGGAAUUCUCGGUGUAGAGGUGAAAUUCGUAGAUAUCGAGAGGAACAUCGGUGGCGAAGGCGGCCUUCUGGGACA